rnacentral:antisense_RNA from 1 species
AACACAAAAUGGCGACACGUGGUUAGCAUUCGUCGCCAACGAGAAAUUGGGGUCGGCCCGAAAGCUCUAGAAUGCACCCCUAUUCCUCCCCGGGGCCAUUCCCGCUCAACGAGUUUUAUGACCUAAAAAACCCCACAGGCUGGUCUGAAGGUCGGAGGCCUAAUUUUAACGCGUUUUCCUCCCUUUAAUUUGAAACGGGAACGCGAAUAACUAAAAUGUGGGCACAAUAUUUAACCUCUUGCUUUUUUAAAGCUUAAUAAUGGAUAGUAGGGGGCAGUAUCAAGGGAUAAUUUGGGUCCCCACAGUACCAAAGCAUUUAGAAACCUCUGCUUAAUUUAAGGAAUGAGAUAAAUUACUGCUUUUCUAGAUUUGGUAGCAUGGGCUGUUGUGCUGGAGAGAACGAGAGCUACGAAGAGACUAGAAUGCCUCUGACUUUUUCAUAGGACAGUUGGCCGAGGAAGACACUUAAAGAUGAAGUGCUUAAUUCAAGGUCACAGAAUGUCGGGGAUGGACCUCCAGAUUUCCUUACUGGUGAGACGUGGUCUUGUAACACAGUGGUUAAGAAUGUGACUUUGGAGCCAGCCUGCUAGGGGCUGAAUUCUGACUCAGCCAUUUAUUAACUGUGUGACCUUAGGCUGGCGUGCAAUGGCGUGAUCUCGGCUCACCACAACCUCUGCUUCCCGGGUUCAAGCGAUUCUCCUGCCUCAGCCUCCCGAGUACCUGGGACUACAGGCACUCGCCACCAUGCCCGGCUAAUUUUUGUAUUUUUAAUAGAGAUGGUUUCACUAUGUUGGGCAGGCUGGUCUCGAACUCCUGACCUUGUGAUCCGCCCACCUCAGCCUCGAAAAGUGCUGGGAUUACAGGCGUGAGCCACCGCGCCCAGCCUUGUAUUUUUUUUCAGUUUGGGUAGCUGUCCCAAAUUCAUUUGUUGAAGGAGAAGCAAGAGCAAGAGCCUUUAAUCUGUUCUCCUCUUCCCUAAUUUGAAAGUAGCUUGUUAUUUUGAAUAUCACUUCCUCAGAAAUAGCACAUCUCCAUCUCAGAGAAUGGAUUUAAUGUUUGGAUACAGCCAAAAGUCGUUUCAUUACCAAACCAUGGGGUGAAUAUACC